rnacentral:misc_RNA from 1 species
UAAGGGCAGCCGCUGGUGGGAGAACUCGGAUUCUCCCAUUCAUGGUGCGCCUGUGAAUCCUAAUGCUGUUGUUCGAUCCGAUGCUAGUCUGGGCGUUCAUGAAUCUUCAGAGAGCCUACAGGCUAGCCUGAAUGCUUUGGAUCUGGAAUCUAGGAUCGGAACACAUACGGAUCAAAAUAAAAGAUCAUUCGUAAACAGUUCAUCGAUCCAGGAUUCAGGUGCACACCUAAAACCUUCUCGUCGUGGUGUCCAUAUCCGGCCUUGGCGCGGUCCUCUCCCGCGGCCUAGAAGGAAGGAAGCUAUUUCUCUUGCUGCGUUCUGGCCUUCUUCGGCACAGGCCUU